rfam:Pteropus alecto contig104868, whole genome shotgun sequence.
GGUUCCAUAGUGUAGUGGUUAGCAUGUCUGCUUUACAUGCAGAAGGUCCUGCAUUCGCAUCCCAGGUGGAGCCA